UACGGGGGGGGCAAGCGUUGUUCGGAAUUACUGGGCGUAAAGGGCUCGUAGGCGGCCAACUAAGUCAGACGUGAAAUCCCUAGGCUCAACCUAGGAACUGCGUCUGAUACUGGAUGGCUUGAAUCCGGGAGAGGGAUGCAGAAUUCCAGGUGUAGCGGUGGAAUGCGCAGAUAUCAGGAGGAACACCGGUGGCGAAGGCGGGUCUCUGGGCAGUAACUGACGCUGAGGAGCGAAAGCGUGGGGAGCGAACAGG
rnacentral:rRNA from 1 species